AGACAUUUUUAUUGUUUACCAAUGAGGUUUUUUUAAUUUAUUGCAAUAGUCUAUCAAAUUGAUCUUGUUUAUUUUAUUAAUUAUCAUCAACUAAUGGUUUUGGAGUUAAUGGUGAUGGUGAUGGGAUGGAUUAAUACACUGCUGUUCACAAACUGACCUGACGACCGAAAGUUAUUGCCGCUAGGAAAUAGUUAACAAUCUUUACUACGCAUUUGAUGUAACCAACAACAGAAACAACAUCAUGUAAAACAAAAUCACCAUCAAUAUCACCAUAACUAUCACUUUCAACAUGAAACAACUUAACCGACAUAAAUUCUGAUUUCCGUUUCAAUUUUACUUUCACCUUCAAACCAUCUUCGCCGUACUUACUUUUACUUUACGGUGUCACCUCCGCCUUGUUAUCUUCCUUCUCUUAACCUUUUUCGUUGGAUUUGUUAUAUUUUUCCCUCCUUUAUCCUUUCUUCAUUAUACAAAUGAUUAGCUAAAAAACGAGUUUAGGGGUAAAUCCGUUUCUUUAUACCGUUCAAAUGAUUCUCCCAUCAUUGAAAAACGUUGCCUGCUCAAGGUAUAUAAAAGCAACAGAAGAGGUCAUCAAGUGAAAUCUGUUCUCGCUAAUCAGUUAACCUUUCCACUUUAAUUUCAAAUUUUCUUUGUGUAUCUACUAACAACCAAACCUCUUCUAUUCAUCAUCAUGCGUUUCAUGUUUGCUUUCGCUUGCUUCUUUGCCUCCAUCAUCUUUGUACAAAGUUUUCCAAUCAUCUACGCACCCACUCUUGGUAAACUUGCCAUCCCAGCAGCCAUUGCUGGUGGUUACAUUGCCACUGGAGUAGUUGGUGGUCUUGCUGGUGCUUUAUCUGUUAAAAUCCACGAGCCUGGACACCAUGGUGGACAUGCUUAUGCCGUUCACGAUGGAUUUGACCACCUUGCUUUUGAUCACGGCGAAAGCUGGUAGAUUUGGAUUAAACCUACAAAACAGUGAACCGUGUUCACCUUCAUCAUCCACAAAUUUUGGAGAUAGUACCUCAGCAUCCUCAUUUUUAACAUCGCUAUUUAAUUUCAUCCCACCCUCACCAAACCAUCAAAGUCUUCUCCUUCAUCGACCGUCAACUGUUCACCCGUACAAUUUCAUCAUCAUCCUACUGUAUUUGGUACCAAUAUCGGUUUACCUAUGCCUUGUUUACAUAUUCGUGCCUCUCAUUCCUGCUCUUCGUUUCGCGCUUUUCUACCUUCUCUAUUAUCCUGUUCUCCUAAUCAUCACACUUUUUUCCAUCUUUUACAUUUUUGUUAACUAAUUUAAAGUUGAUACAUAAAACAAAAAAGUAAUACGCCAGUCAAUCAUCAAAACAAAUCACAAAUUUAAUUUAUAUUUCGAUCACACCUCGCCAUCAAUCAUUGUGAUCUCCACAAGAAAACAAUGUCAGUAAAUUAUUAAAUCAUAACCAAAAUCAUUUUCAGAUUAUGAAUUAAAUAAGUAUUUUUUUGCAAAAA